AUUGAACGCUGGCGGCAUGCCUUACACAUGCAAGUCGAACGGCAGCACGGGUGCUUGCACCUGGUGGCGAGUGGCGAACGGGUGAGUAAUACAUCGGAACGUACCUUAUCGUGGGGGAUAACGCAGCGAAAGCUGUGCUAAUACCGCAUAAGCCCUGAGGGGGAAAGCGGGGGAUAGAAAGACCUCGCGCGAUUAGAGCGGCCGAUGCCUGAUUAGCUUGGUGGUGGGGUAAAAGCCCACCAAGGCGACGAUCAGUAGCUGGUCUGAGAGGACGAUCAGCCACACUGGGACUGCGACACGGCCCAGACUCCUACGUGAGGCAGCAGUGGGGAAUUUUGGACAAUGGGUGCAACCCUGAUCCAGCAAUGCCGCGUGAGUAAAGAAGGCCUUCGGGUUGUAAAGCUCUUUUGUCAGGGAAGAAACACCGGCUCUAACACAGUCCGGGAAUGACGGUACCUGAAGAAUAAGCACCGGCUAACUACGUGCCAGCCGCCGCGGUAA
rnacentral:rRNA from 1 species